rnacentral:rRNA from 1 species
AGAGUUUGAUCCUGGCUCAGGACGAACGCUGGCGGCGCGCCUAACACAUGCAAGUCGAACGAGCGAGAGAGAGCUUGCUUUCUCGAGCGAGUGGCAAACGGGUGAGUAACGCGUGAGGAACCUGCCUCAAAGAGGGGGACAACAGUUGGAAACGACUGCUAAUACCGCAUAAGCCCACGACCCGGCAUCGGGAAGAUGGAAAAGGAGCAAUCCGCUUUGAGAUGGCCUCGCGUCCGAUUAGCUAG